rnacentral:rRNA from 1 species
UACGUAGGGGGCAAGCGUUGUCCGGAAUUAUUGGGCGUAAAGCGCGUGUAGGCGGCUCGGUAAGUCUGCUGUGAAAGUCCAGGGCUCAACCCUGGAACGCCGGUGGAUACUGUCGAGCUCGAGUCCGGAAGAGGCGAGUGGAAUUCCUGGUGUAGCGGUGAAAUGCGCAGAUAUCAGGAGGAACACCAAUGGCGAGGGCAGCUCGCUGGGACGUGACUGACGCUGAGACGCGAAAGCGUGGGGAGCAAACAGG